GGAUGUGAGGGUGAUCUGGCUGCAACAUCUGUCACCUCAUUGAUACCAGAGUUGACUCAGCUGAUCUGGCUGGCUAAGUGGGUGUCCCCUUCCUUCCUCGCCACUCCAUGUGCGUCCCUCCCGAAGCUGUGUGAUCCCACUUAGUCGAAAAACUUUCCAAAUAGUGAUGGAGCAGUCUUCAGUCGAGAGUAUGAGUAUCUGGGCUCCCCUGCUAGAACCUCCAAACAAGUUCUCAAGAAAUCAUCUCAAACUGUGAUCCAUUAGACGCUCACAUACAAACACGCACAAUAUGCUUCUGUACACAUGCACAAAGCUGAAAAGCAGAUGCCACAAAACAGUACUUUGCUUUUAUAU
rfam:Erinaceus europaeus unplaced genomic scaffold scaffold00312, whole genome shotgun sequence